rnacentral:lncRNA from 1 species
UUUAGUGAAGAUAGUGUGGGGAGAAUCUGCUGGUGGGAGUGUGACGUGCGAGCUCAAGAGUCGGAUGAAAGUCUUAUCCAAAGUUUUUUCCUUCAAGUAAUUUUCGAGGACGAAAAUUCUUUAAGUGGAGGAGAGUUGUAAUGCCCUGAAUUUUCAAUUAAUAAUUUAGUUGAAUGUUAAUUUGCUUUUGCUUAUUUGUUUUUUAGUAUU